rnacentral:rRNA from 1 species
GAUCCUGGUUCAGGAUGAACGCUAGCUACAGGCUUAACACAUGCAAGUCGAGGGGCAGCAUGACGAUAGCUUGCUAUUGUUGAUGGCGACCGGCGCACGGGUGAGUAACGCGUAUCCAACCUUCCCGUUGCUAGGGGAUAACCUUGCGAAAGUAAGACUAAUACCCUAUGAAGUUCUUCGCAGACAUCUAAAGAGAACGAAAGAUUUAUCGGCAACGGAUGGGGAUGCGUCUGAUUAGGUUG